rnacentral:rRNA from 1 species
UUAAGCGACUAAGCGUACACGGUGGAUGCCCUGGCAGUCAGAGGCGAUGAAGGACGUGCUAAUCUGCGAAAAGCGUCGGUAAGGUGAUAUGAACCGUUAUAACCGGCGAUGUCCGAAUGGGGAAACCCAGUGCAAUUCGUUGCACUAUCGUUAACUGAAUACAUAGGUUAACGAGGCGAACCGGGGGAACUGAAACAUCUAAGUACCCCGAGGAAAAGAAAUCAACCGAGAUUCCCCCAGUAGCGGCGAGCGAACGGGGAGCAGCCCAGAGUCUGAAUCAGCUUGUGUGUUAGUGGAACGGUCUGGAAAGUCCGACGGUACAGGGUGAUAGUCCCGUACACCAAAAUGCACAGGCUGUGAACUCGAAGAGUAGGGCGGGACACGUGGUAUCCUGUCUGAAUAUGGGGGGACCAUCCUCCAAGGCUAAAUACUCCUGACUGACCGAUAGUGAACCAGUACCGUGAGGGAAAGGCGAAAAGAACCCCGGCGAGGGGAGUGAAAAAGAACCUGAAACCGUGUACGUACAAGCAGUGGGAGCACCUUCGGGUGUGACUGCGUACCUUUUGUAUAAUGGGUCAGCGACUUAUAUUCUGUAGCAAGGUUAACCGUAUAGGGGAGCCGCAGGGAAACCGAGUCUUAACUGGGCGUUAAGUUGCAGGGUAUAGACCCGAAACCCGGUGAUCUAGCCAUGGGCAGGUUGAAGGUUGGGUAACACUAACUGGAGGACCGAACCGACUAAUGUUGAAAAAUUAGCGGAUGACUUGUGGCUGGGGGUGAAAGGCCAAUCAAACCGGGAGAUAGCUGGUUCUCCCCGAAAGCUAUUUAGGUAGCGCCUCGUGAAUUCAUCUUCGGGGGUAGAGCACUGUUUCGGCUAGGGGGUCAUCCCGACUUACCAACCCGAUGCAAACUACGAAUACCGAAGAAUGUUAUCACGGGAGACACACGGCGGGUGCUAACGUCCGUCGUGAAGAGGGAAACAACCCAGACCGCCAGCUAAGGUCCCAAAGUCAUGGUUAAGUGGGAAACGAUGUGGGAAGGCACAGACAGCCAGGAUGUUGGCUUAGAAGCAGCCAUCAUUUAAAGAAAGCGUAAUAGCUCACUGGUCGAGUCGGCCUGCGCGGAAGAUGUAACGGGGCUAAACCAUGCACCGAAGCUGCGGCAGCGACACUAUGUGUUGUUGGGUAGGGGAGCGUUCUGUAAGCCUGCGAAGGUGACCUGUGAGGGUUGCUGGAGGUAUCAGAAGUGCGAAUGCUGACAUAAGUAACGAUAAAGCGGGUGAAAAGCCCGCUCGCCGGAAGACCAAGGGUUCCUGUCCAACGUUAAUCGGGGCAGGGUGAGUCGACCCCUAAGGCGAGGCCGAAAGGCGUAGUCGAUGGGAAACAGGUUAAUAUUCCUGUACUUGGUGUUACUGCGAAGGGGGGACGGAGAAGGCUAUGUUAGCCGGGCGACGGUUGUCCCGGUUUAAGCAUGUAGGCUGAUUGUCCAGGCAAAUCCGGAUAAUCAAGGCUGAGGUGUGAUGACGAGGCACUACGGUGCUGAAGUAACAAAUGCCCUGCUUCCAGGAAAAGCCUCUAAGCAUCAGGUAACAUCAAAUCGUACCCCAAACCGACACAGGUGGUCAGGUAGAGAAUACCAAGGCGCUUGAGAGAACUCGGGUGAAGGAACUAGGCAAAAUGGUGCCGUAACUUCGGGAGAAGGCACGCUGGUGUGUAGGUGAAGUCCCUGCGGAUGGAGCUGAGACCAGUCGAAGAUACCAGCUGGCUGCAACUGUUUAUUAAAAACACAGCACUGUGCAAACACGAAAGUGGACGUAUACGGUGUGACGCCUGCCCGGUGCCGGAAGGUUAAUUGAUGGGGUUAUCCGUAAGGAGAAGCUCUUGAUCGAAGCCCCGGUAAACGGCGGCCGUAACUAUAACGGUCCUAAGGUAGCGAAAUUCCUUGUCGGGUAAGUUCCGACCUGCACGAAUGGCGUAAUGAUGGCCAGGCUGUCUCCACCCGAGACUCAGUGAAAUUGAACUCGCUGUGAAGAUGCAGUGUACCCGCGGCAAGACGGAAAGACCCCGUGAACCUUUACUAUAGCUUGACACUGAACAUUGAGCCUUGAUGUGUAGGAUAGGUGGGAGGCUUUGAAGCGUGGACGCCAGUCUGCGUGGAGCCAACCUUGAAAUACCACCCUUUAAUGUUUGAUGUUCUAACGUUGGCCCCUUACCGGGGUUGCGGACAGUGUCUGGUGGGUAGUUUGACUGGGGCGGUCUCCUCCCAAAGCGUAACGGAGGAGCACGAAGGUUAGCUAAUCCUGGUCGGACAUCAGGAGGUUAGUGCAAUGGCAUAAGCUAGCUUGACUGCGAGCGUGACGGCGCGAGCAGGUGCGAAAGCAGGUCAUAGUGAUCCGGUGGUUCUGAAUGGAAGGGCCAUCGCUCAACGGAUAAAAGGUACUCCGGGGAUAACAGGCUGAUACCGCCCAAGAGUUCAUAUCGACGGCGGUGUUUGGCACCUCGAUGUCGGCUCAUCACAUCCUGGGGCUGAAGUAGGUCCCAAGGGUAUGGCUGUUCGCCAUUUAAAGUGGUACGCGAGCUGGGUUUAGAACGUCGUGAGACAGUUCGGUCCCUAUCUGCCGUGGGCGCUGGAGAAUUGAGGGGGGCUGCUCCUAGUACGAGAGGACCGGAGUGGACGCAUCACUGGUGUUCGGGUUGUCAUGCCAAUGGCACUGCCCGGUAGCUAAAUGCGGAAGAGAUAAGUGCUGAAAGCAUCUAAGCACGAAACUUGCCCCGAGAUGAGUUCUCCCUGAGACUUUAAGUCUCCUGAAGGAACGUUAAAGACGAUGACGUUGAUAGGCCGGGUGUGUAAGCGCA